UAGAUUGCUUUUCUUAGUUUCCAAUAUUUUCAGCGCUUGGAUGGUUUUAUUAGGUUAUUAACGAGUGGUUCUCGUCUACAGUGCAUGCAGGUUUGUGAAGCCAGGAGAAACAAGUGAAAGCUGAUUUGUAAUAUAUCUAUCUCCAUCGGAUAAUAAUAUAUAAAAGCUUGAAAUGUAAAACAGCAUCUAAAACCACGACUUUAUUCUUGUUUUCUCUGCAAACUAAAGGGCUUCAUAAAGGCUUGUAAGUUGUGAACCAAAUAUUUGUUAAUAUGUGAUUUGGGACUUAAAACAUACCAAACACGAUCCAUUUUGUUGCUCC
rnacentral:lncRNA from 1 species